rnacentral:rRNA from 1 species
UCCAGACUCCUACGGGAGGCAGCAGUGGGGAAUAUUGCACAAUGGGGGAAACCCUGAUGCAGCGACGCCGCGUGAGCGAUGAAGUAUUUCGGUAUGUAAAGCUCUAUCAGCAGGGAAGAAAAUGACGGUACCUGAGUAAGAAGCACCGGCUAAAUACGUGCCAGCAGCCGCGGUAAUACGUAUGGUGCAAGCGUUAUCCGGAUUUACUGGGUGUAAAGGGAGCGUAGACGGCGGUGCAAGCCAGAUGUGAAAGCCAGGGGCUCAACCCCGGGACUGCAUUUGGAACUGUGCUGCUAGAGUGUCGGAGAGGCAGGCGGAAUUCCUAGUGUAGCGGUGAAAUGCGUAGAUAUUAGGAGGAACACCAGUGGCGAAGGCGGCCUGCUGGGCUUUUACUGACGCUGAGGCUCGAAAGUGUGGGGAGCAAACAGGAUUAGAUACCCCAGUAAA